rnacentral:tRNA from 1 species
GGCUGGGUAGCUCAGUUGGUUAGAGCGCGGGACUCAUAAGCCUGAGGUCGCCGGUUCGAUCCCGGCCCCAGCUACCA